rnacentral:rRNA from 1 species
UACAGAGGUCUCAAGCGUUGUUCGGAUUCAUUGGGCGUAAAGGGUGCGUAGGCGGCGCGGUAAGUCGGGUGUGAAAUCUUGGAGCUUAACUCCGAAACUGCAUUCGAUACUGCCGUGCUUGAGGACUGGAGAGGAGACUGGAAUUUACGGUGUAGCGGUGAGAUGCGUAGAUAUCGUAAGGAAGACCAGUGGCGAAGGCGGGUCUCUGGACAGUUCCUGACGCUGAGGCA